rnacentral:rRNA from 1 species
AGUCGAACGAGACCUUCGGGUCUAGUGGCGCACGGGUGCGUAACGCGUGGGAAUCUGCCCCUGGGUUCGGAAUAACAGUUAGAAAUGACUGCUAAUACCGGAUGAUGACGCCAAAGAGAUUUGGAGUCCAAAGAUUUAUCGCCCAGGGAUGAGCCCGCGUAAGAUUAGCUAGUUGGUGGGGUAAAGGCCUACCAAGGCUACGAUCUUUAGCUGGUCUGAGAGGAUGAUCAGCCACACUGGGACUGAGACACGGCCCAGACUCCUACGGGAGGCAGCAGUAGGGAAUAUUGGACAAUGGGCGAAAGCCUGAUCCAGCAAUGCCGCGUGAGUGAUGAAGGCCUUAGGGUUGUAAAGCUCUUUUACCCGAGAUGAUAAUGACAGUAUCGGGAGAAUAAGCUCCGGCU